rnacentral:rRNA from 1 species
ACCAAGGGAUGCCUCAGUAGCGGCGAGUGAAGCGGCAAAAGCUCAAAUUUGAAAUCUGGCGUCUUUGGCGUCCGAGUUGUAAUUUGAAGAAGGUAUCUUUGGGCCCGGCUCUUGUCUAUGUUCCUUGGAACAGGACGUCACAGAGGGUGAGAAUCCCGUGCGAUGAGAUGACCCGGGUCUGUGUAAAGUUCCUUCGACGAGUCGAGUUGUUUGGGAAUGCAGCUCUAAGUGGGUGGUAAAUUCCAUCUAAAGCUAAAUAUUGGCGAGAGACCGAUAGCGAACAAGUACAGUGAUGGAAAGAUGAAAAGAACUUUGAAAAGAGAGUGAAAAAGUACGUGAAAUUGUUGAAAGGGAAGGGCUUGAGAUCAGACUUGGUAUUUUGCAUGCUGCUCUCUCGGGGGCGGCCGCUGCGGUUUACCGGGCCAGCAUCGGUUUGGAGCGGCAGGAUAAUGGCGGAGGAAUGUGGCACGGCUUCUGCUGUGUGUUAUAGCCUCUGACGAUACUGCCAGCCUAGACCGAGGACUGCGGUUUUUAACCUAGGAUGUUGGCAUAAUGAUCUUAAGUCGCCCGUCUUGAACAACGGGACCAAA